GGUCCGUUGGUGUAAUGGGUAGCACAAACCGUUAUUUCUCCUGCGACUCUUUUCUAUAGCGGGGCGGACAGGUCCCGGUUCAACUCAGGGGCGGGCCA